GGGUCUUCAUUCACAGACACUACACACAUGUAAUACACAGACAUGCAUAAGGACAAAACACCCAGACACCACACACACACACACACACACACACACACACACACACAAACACAAAAAUUUUAAAGAAAGGAACAUCUUUAUCCUGACUUUUAGAGCUUUAAUCACAAUAUACUAUUAACUAAUUCAUAGAAUUAAAAUAUAAUAACUAAAAUCAUCAAAGACUCUCUAAAUCAAAGCCUGUAUUCAAAGAAACCAAGAAUCAGAUAUUUAAAGUUGUAUAAGAGCUACCCAUCAAAAUGGCUCAGCGGGUAAGGGUACUUGACCUCUCUUCUAGCACGACUGGGUAAGGCCAUGGCUCCUGAGGAUGACAUCAGAGACUCUCAUAGGUGCAGUGACUGCUUUUCUUUGGAAGUACUAAAGCAUGUUGACAUACAGAACACACUGAUUACUUCUUAUGUGAUAGUACCUUCUAAGCAGCAGUGCUAUAGUUCCUCUGUCCUUGUUCGGUGCUCUCAGGGACACCUAUGGGGAAGGAUACAUUAUAUCCUUGCAAAAAUAGGGUAAUAUUGUUAAGCCGUGGAAAAUAUAAUUCAUUUCAUCAGUAAACAUUAUUUUUAAGAUUAACACUACUCUAAAAACACAUUGUUUGGUCUUCACUGAAAAGAGUUCUCAUUGAAGUCUGCUUCUAAUUUUUGCAUUGCCUCCUAUUUUAUUUUUUUCUGUAAAUACAAUUAUGUAUAAGGAAUAUAUCAAUGGUGUACUUUAAAUUAAAAUAUAUUGCCUCACAAGUAUUUUUGACUUAUGGAAAAAUCUAAUAAUAUGUGUAUAAGACACAUACUAUGUACAUAUUAUGUAUACAUAUAUAUACAUAUAUACAUACACACACACAUAUAUAUAUGUGUGUAUGUGUGUGUGUGUGUGUGUGUGUGUGUAUAUAUAUGAGAGAAAGAAUUAAACUGUGGUCUGUAAUAACGGUGAAGACAAUUUAAUCAUCAAAUCAAUACUAGCUUAGUAAUGACUUCUCCAUUUGACCCUUUCUUUUCUCUACACAUAGAAAACGAAUACGGGAAUUAAAAUUCAAAAUAACUCCUUUAUUUUCUUUUGAGGUGUUUCUCAGUGAUCUUCAAUUUUGUCGAAUUACUUAAAGUUAACAUUAUCCAUGAAUUAGAAAGUGAUCUGUCUUAUGAUACCUAACUUUAGAGAAGUUGGAGACAAUGUGUGGUGGAAACCAUGUUGCCCAGUCUCAGAGGUUGCUGAUCUAUAAACAAAGAUUCAGUUACAAUGGCUCUAGAAUAUGUUGAGUGUCAUGAAUCUCCCUGAUUACUCUUGACUAUUGUAUAAUGUGUGUAAGUUAUAAGGAAGUGCAGUGUUGCCUCUGAACAGUUAAAUUUUAACACAGGUGUUUUCAAUGCCCUGCAAAUAGUCUCUUACAAUUUCUCACUGUGAACCCAUCAUGACCGAUAAAGAUUUACCUACAAUGAUGUUGCUUAAGAUAAAUUACUUUGUUCAAGUUCAAAUGACAGCCAUUCCCAAUAGGUGUUGAUGGAUGCAAUACUAAGGACCAAUUGGCAAAUAUUUAUAAGAAGGUUUAAGAAAUGUCACUGAAAAUGUUCUAUUCACUUCUUGAGUUAAUGACAACAUCUUGAGCAUGCAUGGAAAAUUGAACUAGGCAGUAAUGUGCGAUUUAGGUAAGUGGAGAAUCCUAUUACAAAGCUAACAGCUGUGCAGGAAAGGCAGAUUUGGACACUACUGUCUGUACAAAAAUCCACAUUUUUCACUUCACUGGGAAUAAGAGAUGGCUCCUUCUGGAAGCAAACAUGAAUGACCAUGUCCCAGAAACACACAUUUAGGUUACCUCAAAUUCCCUCUUCCAACAUGGAUUCAAUUUCAUGAACUUUUUAUAAUGACAAAAGGAAGAAAGUCAUAAAUCAAGGUGCUUUCAAAUUUUUUGAUAGAAAUGGUAAAUGCAGGUUUUACACACAGCACAGAAAUAUCAUCUACAGCCCUCAAAUGCUGUCUCAGUCUUUUGGUUGUUGGAUAAGUAGGAUUUUAUUAAGCAAAUGCAAUCAACAGUUUUCACUUGUUAUCAGAUGAUUACGUCAAUCUUCUUGGAGUGAUGGGGGGAAAAGAAGGAUUCUUUAGUGGACUGAAGAUAGGCCAAGAUAAAUAGUAAUUAGGCUCUGGAUCUGAAGCAACAAUUUCUUUCCCAUUCUGAAGUUUUAGUCACUUAACUGGUCUUUGUAGACACUCCACCUCUUCAGACAUUCUUGUUCACAUUACUUCUUGUAAUGUAUCAAUUAUACACUAUACAUCGAUUAUGUUUCCAGAGGAUCAGGGAUGAGUGUGUGUAUUAUAGUGGAAUUUUUAAAAAUGAUAAUAGGUGAAUAAAUUAUCAAUGUAUCUGUGUCUUUGCAUGCUUUUAUUGCAUGUAAUCAUUGGGAGUGCUCUUACUGUGAAAGAAAGGUUUUGAGAAUAAUAUAUAAAAUGUGACCAUGUAACAAUGAUUUCCUCAUGAUUAUGAACUAGGUUCCUCCAUCCAGUGGAAUUCACAGGUCAUUCAAAAGCCUCAGUUAGGGUUCAUGGAUAAAAAUAGAUAUGAAUCAGUCUUCUCAGAAUACUUAUUAUCAUGUACAGUGAUUUUAUGAAAAUACCAGGCAAAAUUAAAUUAUCAGUUUUUUUUUUUAAUGAAGAGGUGUAUUCUUCCAUUUUAAGAGGCAUUAGAGUUUGAAAAUACACAUUUUUCUGUUGACGUUCUACUUAUGGUGAGUAUUGUUUAAGCAUGAAAUAUUCUCAUGAAUGUAAUUAUUUCAUUAUAUCUUGAAUGUCUUUGUCAUUAGGCUUACAUAGCUUUGCAUUGCUUAUGUAUUGAAAAAUUAUACAUUUUUGUUUUAAAUUGAAAAUCAGUCUGGCCUGGGAUACCAUAGGAAGAAAUUCAGAAAAUGAAAUAAAUUCUCUUCUAAAUGGUGAAAUAAUUUAUCUGUAUGACUUUAAGUAGCAUGGAAAAAUCACACAGACUUUUUUCCAUUUGUGUUUUAAUGGUAAGUAUUAAGCAGAUAAUUAAUUACUAGGUAUUUUUAAUAUAUAUAUAUAUAUUAAUUACUAGGUAUUUUUAAUUAAGUUAUAUAUAUUCUUAAAUGUCUGUCAGGCCAAUGGAAAUAAUCAUUUUUAGAUGUUGAACAGUCGGAGGGUGAGCCCAGAAGAGGACAAAGUCUGAACUGUU
rnacentral:lncRNA from 1 species